rnacentral:rRNA from 1 species
AGACCUCAAUUUGAGCAAGAUUACCCGCUGAACUUAAGCAUAUCAGUAAGCGGAG